ACGGAGGGUGCAAGCGUUAAUCGGAAUUACUGGGCGUAAAGCGUGCGUAGGCGGCUUUUUAAGUCGGAUGUGAAAUCCCCGAGCUUAACUUGGGAAUUGCAUUCGAUACUGGGAAGCUAGAGUAUGGGAGAGGAUGGUAGAAUUCCAGGUGUAGCGGUGAAAUGCGUAGAGAUCUGGAGGAAUACCGGUGGCGAAGGCGGCCCCCUGGACGAAGACUGACGCUCAGGUGCGAAAGCGUGGGGAGCAAACAG
rnacentral:rRNA from 1 species